rnacentral:lncRNA from 1 species
CGUGGCUAUAUUAUUUAAAUAAACACAUUAAAAUCUAAUGACAGAGUCAUGAUCAAUACGCCAACAAGUACGCACCUUUAGUAGAAAUAUAAGCCUAUUGUGCAGAUGUCAAACACUGAUACACUUUAGUCACACCAUAGGCGAUACAAAUUAAAGUAUUUGAAACACAAUUGCAGGGAUUAGUAUAUAACUUACAUCAAGUGUAUGCAACUUUUAUUUUUAUUAUACACAAUAUUAAUAAUUUAUUUUAUACAUUUACUCUUACAUAAAACCAAACAAUUAAUAUUUGAAGGUUACCGCAGUUCUUACUUGUUCGAUAUAAUAAAUACAUGUAUCCAUGAUUGCAUGUCUGUGUACACAUUAAUACGCUCAGAUUAAUAUAACAAAUAUAUUUGACGACAUCCUAUACCACUUUGAAGUAUUUAAAGUGUUUGGACAGGACAUUUUCUGUAAAUACAUAGUACCAGCCCUUAGUAUACACAAUAUUUGCGUUGUUAAUAUUGUUUGAAACUAAUCAUUAACUUUGUAGUUUAGUUUAUAUGAAUUUCUUUUAAAAAUUAACAUUUGAUAUACUUAAUAAAGAAAUAAAGAUAAUAUGGACCAACAAAGGAGUUAUUUAGGUUUUUGCACCGUCGUAAAACUUUUUUUUAGCAAAACCUUACGAAACGAGUCAUAGUAUAUUUAUAAACAGUCUAAUUACUACUAAUUAAAAGCCACAACUACAAAUAUAAUGGAAGUUUUUGGACAUGAAAAUGAAUUUCAUUUGUAUUGCUUAACUGCUAGACAACUUAUAAUUCAAGCAAACUGGUGUUUU